rnacentral:rRNA from 1 species
CCUACGGGAGGCAGCAGUGAGGAAUAUUGGUCAAUGGACGAGAGUCUGAACCAGCCAAGCAGCGUGAAGGAUGACUGCUCUAUGGGUUGUAAACUUCUUUUAUAUGGGAAUAAAUUGUUCCACGUGUGGGAUUUUGUAUGUACCAUAUGAAUAAGGAUCGGCUAACUCCGUGCCAGCAGCCGCGGUAAUACGGAGGUUCCGAGCGUUAUCCGGAUUUAUUGGGUUUAAAGGGAGCGUAGGUGGAUUGUUAAGUCAGGUGUGAAAGUUUGGGGCUCAACCGUAGAAUUGCAGUUGAAACUGGCAGUCUUGAGUGCAGUAGGGGUGGGCGGAAUUCGUGGUGUAGCGGUGAAAUGCUUAGAUAUCACGAAGAACUCCGAUGGCGAAGGCAGUUCACUGGACUGCAACUGACACUGAGGCUCGAAAGUGUGGGUAUCAAACAGGAUUAGAUACCCCAGUAGUC